GAAUAGCUCAAUAGUUCGAAGGUUCGAAUUCGAAGCAUCAAGUGGCAGGAUCGAAUCCCGUCAUGGU
rnacentral:tRNA from 1 species